CAGCAGCCGCGGGAAUACAGAGGGUGCGAGCGUUAAUCGGAUUUACUGGGCGUAAAGCGUGCGUAGGCGGCUUCUUAAGUCGGAUGUGAAAUCCCUGAGCUUAACUUAGGAAUUGCAUUCGAUACUGGGAAGCUAGAGUAUGGGAGAGGAUGGUAGAAUUCCAGGUGUAGCGGUGAAAUGCGUAGAGAUCUGGAGGAAUACCGAUGGCGAAGGCAGCCAUCUGGCCUAAUACUGACGCUGAGGUACGAAAGCAUGGGGAGCAAACAGGAUUAGAUACCCCUGUAGUCCAUGUCUCUUAUAC
rnacentral:rRNA from 1 species